GACGAACCGUGCGAACGUUAUUCGGAAUCACUGGGCUUAAAGCGCGUGUAGGCGGAUCGGAACGUCGGAACCUGAAAGCCCCCGGCUCAACCGGGGAACGAGGGCCGAAACGACCGAUCUCGAGGGACGUAGGGGGAUCUGGAACUUCCGGUGGAGCGGUGAAAUGCGUUGAGAUCGGAAGGAACGCCCGUGGCGAAAGCGAGAUCCUGGACGUCUACUGACGCUGAGACGCGAAAGCUAGGGGAGCGAACGGG
rnacentral:rRNA from 1 species